ensembl:lncRNA
GCAGAAUGUCAGUUUAGUCAGUUAGAACUUUCAAUGCAGAAAUUCAGUGCCAUGCAGUCACGCAGAUCGAGAGCAGCACUUACCUUAAUUGAAAUAUUCUCUGUGAACGAGCAUAUUCAAGGUCUUUCUUCCGAAUAUGGGCAAACAAGACACUGAGUAGAAAGAAUAUGCCACUUAGACCUGAAACCACUUUACUACCCUGACUGUGGACAUCAAUGAACAGCUCUAAAACUUGAAGUGUAAGAAGACUUAACUUACGUUAAAACAAGAUAUGCUUCCAAAUGUAAAGACACAGUCAAAGAGAAGUGAGUUUGUAUCAUGAUUGGAUCCAGGAAUUAAAGAUUUUGGAAAGAAAAAGGAUACUAGUUGAAGAUGAGAAGACAUGGUUUCUGUCUUCCAGGAACUCUCAAUCAAUUGGAAAGACUGCUAUGAAAACAACUUUAUAAUACAAAUUGGGAAAAAAUGUGCUAAAAUAGAAACUAACUCAAUUGGUGUCCCCCUGACUCUGGACAAUAACAGCCUCCACUCAAAAGGAGUGUUUCCUAUGCUCAAGGAGCUCUAAGAUAGGAUAGAAGGGAGAGGAAAUUUGGACAUGAGCGGAGACACCGGGAAUGUACCUACAGAGAAAAGAACAUGUGAAGACUCAGCAAGAAAGACGCCAUCUGCCAGCCAAGGACAAGUCUCAGAAGAAAGAAAACCUGCCAACACCUUGAUCAGGGACUUCUAACCUCUGGAACAGUUUAAGGAAAAUGAGACUCAGCAUGAGAGAGAAAGAGGUUGGAGGUGGACAUACGAAGAAUCAACUGGUUAAAAAUGAAGUGUUUUAAGUCACAGAAGAGCUUUAAACAAUCCAUUUGCCUAAGAACCAUCUGUGUGACAUCAACAAACUUACUUUACCUCUCUGAGUUUUAUUUACCAAAUAUUUAAAAUGUUACUAAUAAAACAUCAUAGAAAUUAAA